UACGAAGGGGGCUAGCGUUGCUCGGAAUCACUGGGCGUAAAGCGCACGUAGGCGGACUCUUAAGUCGGGGGUGAAAGCCUGUGGCUCAACCACAGAAUUGCCUUCGAUACUGUCUGGCUUGAGACCGGAAGAGGUAAGUGGAACUGCGAGUGUAGAGGUGAAAUUCGUAGAUAUUCGCAAGAACACCAGUGGCGAAGGCGGCUUACUGGUCCGGUUCUGACGCUGAGGCGCGAAAGCGUGGGGAGCAAACAGG
rnacentral:rRNA from 1 species